CUACGGGACGCACCAGUGAGGAAUAUUGCACAAUGGGGGAAACCCUGAUGCAGCAACGCCGCGUGGAGGAUGACGCAUUUCGGUGUGUAAACUCCUUUUAUCAGAGAAGAAAAUGACGGUAUCUGAUGAAUAAGCUCCGGCUAACUCCGUGCCAGCAGCCGCGGUAAUACGGAGGGAGCAAGCGUUAUUCGGAAUCACUGGGCGUAAAGGACGCGUAGGCGGGUUUUUAAGUCAGGUGUGAAAUCCUACAGCUCAACUGUAGAACUGCACUUGAAACUGGGAACCUAGAGUAUGGAAGGGGCAGGUGGAAUUAGUGGUGUAGGGGUAAAAUCCGUAGAUAUCACUAGGAAUACCGAAAGCGAAGGCGACCUGCUGGGACAUAACUGACGCUGAGGCGUGAAAGCGUGGGGAGCAAACAGGAUUAGAUACCCUCGUAGUC
rnacentral:rRNA from 1 species